rnacentral:rRNA from 1 species
UAUGUGAUCGUCUCUCGCAUAUCAAUAAGCGGAGGAAAAGAAACUAACAAGGAUUCCCCUAGUAACGGCGAGUGAAGCGGGAAGAGCUCAAAUUUGAAAUCUUAAAGGGUUUCCCUUUACGAAUUGUAGUUUAAAGAAGUGUUUUCUGUUGAGGUUUUGGUAAAAGUUCUUUGGAAUAGGACAUCAUAGAGGGUGAGAAUCCCGUAUUCGACCUUUACUUUCAACUUUGUGAUACACUUUCAAAGAGUCGGAUUGUUUGGGAAUGCAGUCCAAAAUGGGUGGUAUAAUUUCAUCUAAAGCUAAAUAUUGGCGAGAGACCGAUAGCGAACAAGUACCGUGAGGGAAAGAUGAAAAGAACUUUGAAAAGAGAGUUAAACAGUACGUGAAAUUGUCAAAAGGGAAGCGUUUGACACCAGUGUUGUUUUUCUGAAAAUCAAUUAAAGAACUGUUUAUGCUAAGCUGUUUAGACUUUAUCAGCUAUCUGUUUAGUUUUGAGCUAUUCUUUAAUGCACUUUUCAGUUAACAAGUCAACAUCAAUUUCUUUUGCUGUAAAAAAGCUUGAGGAAGGUGGCUUGAGAUUCGUCUUAAGUGUUUAUAGCCUCUUGCCUAUGCAGUCGGAGAGAUUGAGGUCUGCAGCGUAGAUCCUUCGGGGCUAAAUGCAUUUGUGCUAAGUUAUAGCAUUUCAUAGACAACUUGUUGACUAUGAUUUGUCUUGUAGCUUACUCGCUUAUGUUAUUUUACCUACGCUUAGGAUGUUGAUAUGCAUGACUGAUAU